CAUUGCAUAGGACCGUUGUUUAUCGCAGUGGACUUUACAGACAAUUAAGGAAAUAGUCCCUGCCCUGAGGAAUAUACAAUUAAAUAUAUGCAGCCAACCAUUUAAGAAAAGUAUGAAAAAGAGGGAGGGGAAAACCCCAUUAUAAUGAAGUGUAAUAAAAAAUGAGUGAUUUGAAGAACUUCAUGGGGUAGGGAGAGUAGUUACUUGUAAUUUUAUUAUUAACUUUCUCCACAUAUUCCAGCAUGAAAAGUGUUGGUUAUUUGUGUGCGAUUGGCUAAUCUUGGUUUCUGCUUGAACUUGAGCAGGAUGGCUGAUCAUCACGGUUGCUUCUUAAUUUUUUUGGAAAUAAACCCCCCAAAAAACCAAACCCAACUCCAUAACAUUUCCUUAUGCAGUGAAUGCAAGAGGAAAUACUUCUGUGCUGUUUGUGAUACUUACAUAAGUUUGAGAUCCUCAGAUCUGUAAACAGUAUUUUCUAGGAGGAAAAAAGUAAAAUCAGAUACUUCCAUCCUAUCUCCCAUUUAUCUCUCAAUGUCUUUUUUUCUUUCUUUUUUUGUGUGUUUUUCUUUUUCUUUUUUUUUUCAAGUGUUUAAUACCUGGAUUUACUACUUUGUCACAGCUCAUCAACAGUCUAAGCUUUCCCUUGUAAUUAAAAAUGUAUUGUGGUUUUCUGUUGGAGAAGAGAUCUGAAGAUCAUUCAUGAGAAAGAGUUGAAAAGAGGAUGAGAAGGGCAUGGAAAGAAUAAAAUUGGAAGGAGAGUUAAGAAGAAAAUCUUGGGUUUUAAUGAGUUUUGCUUUUAACAAAAAAAAAAUUUUGUAGAGAAGGAAUACUGAAGGUGAAAAGAAAUGAAGGCACUGUAACAGGGUGAAGAACAAGAAGAUGCCCAGGGAGUCAGCACACACAGGAGAAAAUUGCACUCUGGUCUCCCAGGGCCUGGGAAACCCAGGUUGUUGUGAAGUGCCUGGCUGGGUUCGGGGUGGUGUUGAGCUCCUUUGGAGGGAAUUGGGCUGUCUCUGCACAGCACUUAAAAUGGCCUGGGCAGGUGUUCCUAGAGAAAAGUGGAACUUGAGAGAUGUUAUGGAGAGUAUGGGAGAUAUUUGUAUGAAAUUUCCAAGGCGUGCUGGGUUGGGUGCAGAGUUGAUUGGUUGAUUUUUCACACCUGGAGGAGAAAGGCAGCAUUUAUAGAUGGGACGUUCACUGUUGUCCAGAUAAGCAGGUGUCAAUUCUUUUUAAGAUUUUUUUUUUUGUGUGUGUCAUACUUUGAGAAUAACAAACUGCUUGGUAACUGAAUGGUGGUAAUGGAGAAAAAGUACAAAAAUGAAUUGGCAUCAUUCCUUCCACUCACAGCUCUUCCUCCUCUGCCCUUCCAACCCUGGAAGUGAGGAAGCAGAGCUCUUUUUAGAGAGUGCUUGUGGAUUGGUUGCCGGAAUCGAGACCUGUAGCUUGUAAGAUAAAUAAUACAAGCUUUGAUGAAAUAUUCUGUGUGGAUAAGGCAGUAUAUGUGUUAUUUUCUUGUUAAAACUUAGCUAUUUUAUCUCUUUAACUAUUUGUUUCUGUUCUAUUUAGAUGGAUAAACAGUCAUUUGUUUUAAGAAGAUAAAUCACUGCAUGCACUCGUUAGCUCCUUGAGGGAAGUGUCUAGUGAGCACCCAACAGAACUGGUUCUUUAAAGCACUGACAGUUGGGUGAACUGGGUUCUUUUAACUUGGAGACUCAGUCUAUAAUCAAAGUGAAUUGUUGUGUUUCCAUUUCAGGACACAGGUUGUGGCUCUGCUGCUCGGCUGUGUUUAGUGUGAGGGGUCAGAGGUGCUAGGUAGGAUGAAAUCCUCUGUUUUGUCACAAAAAGAUGCUGAUGGACAGCCCAGAAACUGUUGGGAAUUGCCUCCUGAUUACAGCAUGUGUGAGGACAGGCCACUAAGCACCUGAAUUGCUUUUGGAACUGUGUGGCCAAAUUCCUUGUUAGCAAAGGGAAUAGGAGUGUGUUGGAACAGGACCCAGUGUUGUUGGAAAAUUCAGCAGCAAAGUCAUAAAUUGGUCCAGGCUGAAAAAGAAAUAAGGUUCACUCGAAUCUUUUAAAUUCUUUCCUUAAAUCAUUCUGCUUCUGGUAUGGUGUUUCAGUUGUUCCAGCCCUGAAAAGACUGUGGAACCAAGGUUAUCACUUUCUGAAGAGUAGUUCAUGACUCAAACUGAUCUGUUUCAUGUGCUUGCAUAUCAAAGAGUGUGGUGGUUGGUUAGUAUUUGCAUGGAAUUCUUUUUUUGUACCUUAUGACAUUGGUAUUUUAAAGAAUCUUUAUUUUAGGGGUGGGGGAUCUACAUUACCGAUUAUUUCCUGUGACACUUACUUUGUACUAAAAUCCAUUAGAUGAGGUUGGUUAUAGGAGUUCUGCCCUCUAUGACAUUUGUCUCCUUUGGAUUCCAUACUUUAUGUUUGUGAUGCCAGAACAGCUCCUUGUAUCCAGGCUCUUUGUGUCUUUGGGAGACCCCUGGGGAUGUCCCAGUUGGUGCUCCCAUGGCUCAAACAGUGCUCUGGGCACUUGCUGCUUUGCCAAAAACCGUAAUGGUAACGGAAAUGUGGCUUUUCGUGAGCCAGGGUUCAUUCCCAUGGCAUGGGCUGUAGGGUUGUGGCCCUCAGAAAUAACUAAUCUCUGCAAGACCUUUGUGAGAUAGUAGUUCUGUGACCUGACUGAUUUCUGCAUCGCCAGGUGAUGGUAUAAAAGCCUCCCACACCUCUGCCAGUGUGGGAACAAGUAAGUUAGGAGCUCCUUGUGCAUCCAAACAGACUUUCUGCCUCCUUUGCUUGAUUAUCUGCUCAUUGUGAUGGACCAUUCUUGGGCUUGGAGGAGCUGAUCAGCCAGGAUCCUUGGAUCCCUCGUCUCUCCAGGUCUGCACCCCUUGGAUGCCUCUCUGGCCUGGAGUCCUUAAAAAACCCCUGUGAUCAUUGUCCUCACAUUCUGUUUUUUGUCCCCACUAUAUUUUUAGUUUUUCAUUUAAAUCUGGCAAGGUUUAAGCUUUCCUUGAAAAUUUUUUUUUUUCCAAUGGCAAAUAAGUUUCAUGUUAAAUCUGUAUUGUAAAACUAGUGCUGUUUCCCAAGCCUUGGGGAUAUCCUGCCUGUGGAAUUACGGGUUUGUGCUGCAGCUCUGCAGACGUGAUUAUUACCAAUAGUAGGAAUAAUUGCACUGCUUGGCUGGUUUGUGGUCAGGCACUGUCUGAUACCUCGAUGUGGAACAGUUAAAAUAAAAAAUAAGAGCAGAAAAUAGCUGAAAUACUUGUAGGCAAUGCUCCUAACUGGCAGUUUUGUUUUCUAUAGUUGUGCGGGUAUGAUGAGAUUUAAUCGACAAUAAAUUCCGCAAGGUAAAAACUCCUGGAUUUUGUCCUAGUUACUAAAAGAGGAUGAUGUGAAGGGAGCAUUAUACAAUUAUAUUGUAAAUUUUGAAGCAGUUUUUUCCCCACCCCUUUCAGAAAUACUGUAUAUAAACAGAAGUAAAUAGAGGGCAGCAUAUGUUCCAUUUGAAGUUAGUUUAGAUUAAGAAACUACUUGGCAAUAGAAUUGAUGAUUAGGUGAACAUUAACGUUUUUAUUGCCUUAUAUUGUUUAAUGAUUUUUCUUACUUUUAAGAAGUGACCCAAUGUUUUCCCUCAUCCCUUUGACAGAUCUUCACUUCUUGGGCUUAGAACAGGAUGUUGCUCCUAUGUCGUGUUUCCCUCCUCCCCAGCUGUGACUGUGUGUAAUGAUCUAUCAUGAACACAUGCCUGGAAAACUCUAAAUGUUGAGGUUUCCUUUGCACUCAGAAACUUAGAGAAUAUAGGGAAUUAAUUGUAGCUGGAAGUAGGAUUAAUGCUAGUUAGGAAAGCUGUUGACUGUUAGUAUGUAAUAUCGAACGUGUCAUUUUUCAUUGACCAGUUUUCAUUUUUACCUACUACUUGAGUGACAUUUAAACCUCAGUCAUUACUAUGAUGGGGUAAAUGAGGUUUUGGAAAGACAAUAUUUACUUCCAUAUAAAUCGUAGGUUUUAAUCCCAGUUAGUACUGUCCUUACUGGCAAAGCAGGUGAUAGUCACAGCUGACUGUGGGCAGGAGAGAAACAGCAUUCCCAGUGGGGGAACACUAGUGAUAAAAGCAAAGUUAAAAUACCUUCUGAUUGAAGUAAGGAUUAUUCAACGUUUGGGUUAGAGAAGUUGAGGAGGUGUUCACAGGGAGAAGGAAAAGAAAUGAAUCUGUACAAAUACAAGCCCAAAAUCUCGAGAUGUUUAUAAACUGUCACUUGGACUGCAUAAAUUGAGAGAAAACUUUGGAGCAAAACUGAGCAGCAUUUAUACACUUAUCUUUCCUUUCUUUUUGGUUCCCCUGCUUAUUUGCUUUUCAAGUUUCUUUCCUGUAUUUAGUUUUUCAGGGGAAAAGUGGUAACCACCCAUGGAUCCUGUUGCUGUGGGUCCUGUGAUCAUGAUGAGAUGGACAUUGGUUUACCUGAGCAGUGCUCAGUGUCCUGGUAAUGUUGCUGGAGGUAUUUAGAGGAUAUUGGGUGUUUCUUCACUUCACUGCACAGUUUAGUGUUGAAACAAUGCAAAAAUCUGUAUGAGGAAAGCUUCUGAUGGCUUGGAUUAUCCAUGAAACUUCCUUGGAGUUUCCAAGUGAACACUUGAAUUCAAAACACUGACAGAAAAUGUGGCACUAUGUGUAAAAUCAGAUCUGAAAAUCGUUCUGUCAUAACUUAAGGGUAAGAAAUAAGAAGAGCACAAGUAAGUUAGUCACUGUACAGCUUCAAUAAUUUAGAGUCAGUUUAGUUCUGGAAUAGUUUCAAUCUCGUAGUUUUUCAAGCAUUUGCUUUUUCUGAGGAAUCCUGUAGCUGUAGUUCUACCAAGAGUAACAGAAGGAACUUUAAUUAUGAAUUUCUAUAAGAUGUUUCAUGUUUAUUGCUCUUA